GACGAACGCGGGCGGCGUGCCUAAUACAUGCAAGUCGAACGCACGAAGUUGAAGAGCUUGCUCUUUAACCAAGUGAGUGGCGGACGGGUGAGUAACACGUGGGUAACCUGCCCAUUAGAGGGGGAUAACAUUCGGAAACGGAUGCUAAUACCGCAUAGUUUCAGGAAUCGCAUGAUUCUUGAAGGAAAGGUGGCUUCGGCUACCACUAAUGGAUGGACCCGCGGCGUAUUAGCUAGUUGGUGAGGUAAUGGCUCACCAAGGCAAUGAUACGUAGCCGACCUGAGAGGGUGAUCGGCCACACUGGGACUGAGACACGGCCCAGACUCCUACGGGAGGCAGCAGUAGGGAAUCUUCCGCAAUGGACGAAAGUCUGACGGAGCAACGCCGCGUGAGUGAAGAAGGUUUUCGGAUCGUAAAACUCUGUUGUUAAAGAAGAACAAGGAUGAGAGUAACUGCUCAUCCCCUGACGGUAUUUAACCAGAAAGCCACGGCUAACUACGUGCCAGCAGCCGCGGUAAUACGUAGGUGGCAAGCGUUGUCCGGAUUUAUUGGGCGUAAAGCGAGCGCAGGCGGUUCUUUAAGUCUGAUGUGAAAGCCCCCGGCUCAACCGGGGAGGGUCAUUGGAAACUGGAGAACUUGAGUGCAGAAGAGGAGAGUGGAAUUCCACGUGUAGCGGUGAAAUGCGUAGAUAUGUGGAGGAACACCAGUGGCGAAGGCGACUCUCUGGUCUGUAACCGACGCUGAGGCUCGAAAGCGUGGGGAGCAAACAGG
rnacentral:rRNA from 1 species